rnacentral:rRNA from 1 species
CUGGUCUUGACAUCCACGGAACUUUCCAGAGAUGGAUUGGUGCCUUCGGGAACCGUGAGACAGGUGCUGCAUGGCUGCCGUCAGCUCGUGUCGUGAGAUGUUGGGUUAAGUCCCGCAACGAGCGCAACCCUUGUCCUUAGUUGCCAGCACGUAAUGGUGGGAACUCUAAUGAGACUGCCGGUGACAAACCGGAGGAAGGUGGGGAUGACGUCAGGUCAUCAUGGCCCUUAUGGGUAGGGCUACACACGUCAUACAAUGGCCGGGACAGAGGGCUGCCAACCCGCGAGGGGGAGCUAAUCCCAGAAACCCGGUCGUAGUCCGGAUCGUAGUCUGCAACUCGACUGCGUGAAGUCGGGAUCGCUAGUAAUCGCGGAUCAGCUUGCCGCGGUGAAUA